CCUACGGGUGGCAGCAGUCGAGAAUCAUUCACAAUGGGGGAAACCCUGAUGCUGCGACGCCGCGUGGGGGAAUGAAGGUCUUCGGAUUGUAAACCCCUGUCAUGUGGGAGCAAAUUAAAAAGAUAGUACCACAAGAGGAAGAGACGGCUAACGCUGUGCCAGCAGCCGCGGUAAUACAGAGGUCUCAAGCGUUGUUCGGAAUCACUGGGCGUAAGGCGUGCGUAGGCUGUUUCGUAAGUCGUGUGUGAAAGGCGCGGGCUCAACCCGCGGACGGCACAUGAUACUGCGAGACUAGAGUAAUGGAGGGGGAACCGGAAUUCUCGGUGUAGCAGUGAAAUGCGUAGAUAUCGAGAGGAACACUCGUGGCGAAGGCGGGUUCCUGGACAUUAACUGACGCUGAGGCACGAAGGCCAGGGGAGCGAAAGGGAUUAGAUACCCCGGUAGUC
rnacentral:rRNA from 1 species